GAAUAAGAAUAAGAAGAAUAAGAAGAAUAAGAAGAAUAAGAAGAAUAAGAAGAAUAAGAAGAAGAAGAAGAAGAAGAAGAAGAAGAAGAAGAAGAAGAAGUUAAAAGACAGUGUAUGCUAGCUAACGUUUGCUUCUCUGUAAAGUCAAUUUGUUGGCCCCUUAAGAUUAGUUUUUUUCGUUCACCCGGAUUUUUUCAGUAAUAAGAGGCGGACUUUUAAACAAAAUAAGUCAUAAAGCUACAUAGCUAAUGGUUUAUGUAGCUAAAGUUCGGCUAUAUCGUAUAUUACGGUACUGUUGACUGUCAGAAGGAGGACAGAGGACAACAGCAUUCAGUUCAGCAGGCAAACUGUCAAUAUUUAUCAUUUUUAGGUUAUUUUAAGUGCAGAAAAUAUGCCAACGAGUCGUAUAGAUGUUUAGGAAUCGGUGUGUGUAGCAGUGUUAGCAGGAGUCAUGCAGUGAAAGUCUGGUAACCGUUUAAUCUUCAGUCCCAGGUGUUCUCAUGGCUUCUUUAGUGAACUCACUCAUGUCACGGGUCAGACUUUGCUGUUUGUAUCGCCGUUUGUGUUCGUCCGCGAAUAGGACGAUCUUUGCAAAUGGUUUUGGUCCAAGGAGUUUGUGUCCAGCUGAAGGUGCAGCAGCUCUGUCCAGACAAAUUCACUCUUCCCGAUGCACUCUGAACCGAGGAUUUUUCUCCAGCAGCGGUGGUGCAUCUGACAAACAGCAGACUCUGGAGGACAUCGCCAAGAAGAUCCAAGAGAAGCAGUACAAGAGGGUUGUUGUGAUGGCUGGAGCCGGGAUCAGCACUCCCAGUGGCAUCCCUGAUUUCAGGUCUCCAGGCAGCGGUCUCUAUGACAACCUGCAGCAGUAUGACCUGCCUUACGCUGAGGCCAUAUUCGAGAUUGGCUUUUUCCACCGAAACCCUAAUCCCUUCUUCGCUCUGGCUAAAGAACUGUAUCCAGGAAACUACCAGCCCAACCUGACGCACUACUUCGUGCGUCUGCUUCAUGAGAAGGAUCAGCUGCUCAGGAUGUACACGCAGAACAUCGACGGGCUGGAGAGACUGGCAGGGAUUCCUCCGGCGAUGCUGGUGGAGGCCCACGGGACGUUCGCCACGGCCACCUGCACCUCGUGCCUGAGGAAAUACGAGGGCGAAGACCUCAGACCAGACGUGAUGAGUGGGACGGUCCCCAAGUGUCCCACCUGUAAGGGCGUCGUAAAGCCCGACAUCGUGUUUUUUGGGGAGGAGCUUCCACGCCACUUCUUCAAGUAUCUCACAGACUUUCCACUGGCAGAUCUUCUGAUCAUCAUGGGAACUUCACUGGAGGUGGAGCCCUUCGCCAGUCUGGCCGGAGCUGUGCGAGGUUCUGUUCCUCGUCUGCUCAUCAACAGGGACUUGGUGGGACCGUUUACCUGGAGCCGCCGGCCUCAGGACGUUGUGCAGCUGGGGGACGUGGUCAGCGGUGUGCAGGUUCUGGUCGAUGCCCUUGGCUGGACUCAGGAGCUGGAGGCUCUGAUGGCGGCCGGCGCUAAGAAAGCUACGACAAAAAACGAAGAGUGACCGGAUUUAACUUCGUCACAGCUAGAGGUUUCACCUUAAGUCAGCUGGGAUAGACUCCAGCCCCCUGUGAACCUAAUGAGGAUUAGGCAGUGUACAGAUAAUGGAUGGAUGGCUGUUUCUUGAGGACCACCACGUACCUGUCCACGCUGAUGGCACACAGGUUGAAUAUGGACGCCGUGCAGAGCAUCACAUCCAUGGUCAUCAGGCCGUCGCACAUCAGCACGUUCAAGGACCAAACGCCGCCCUGAAACUGCACAGAGAAACAAACACAAACAGCGACUCGUUAGCUGUCCCAGAUCUCACGGUAAAUAUCUGUAAUCCUCUCGGCUCGCCAACAUCCCUACUGUAAAACUGUAGCCUGUCCACUCUCUGGUUUCCACAACUCUGCUCCAGGUGAACGUUGGAGGCUUUAACUUUCCUUCUGACUCCUUCUAAUCCAGCGACUGCAUGCGGCCAGGCCACCGGUGUGACACUCGCUAGAUUAACCGGCUGCAACCGCUGGCACAGGUAACGAGAUCAAACGCAGCUAAUUAAGGAGGACUUAAGGGGAAGCCUCAGCGGGGCCUCGCUCAGAUAUUUAGACAGACAGGCGGGCAGGUGGCGUUUAAUUCUUUUAAUGAUGGCUGCAUUACACCCUUUAAACCUUUUUCGGUCUGGAGAUAUUGUGAAUUAUGGAUCAGUGCUCUCCACAUACCCGGUGUGAAUCUCCCGGCGUCUCCCCCCGUCAGAGGAAUUAAUCCUGACUGACAGCGCGGCUUCUAUUUUGUGUCACGAUGAACUGGUUCUGGUGGGUUUAACUGGCAAGCACACCUAAUCACAUUAGCCCAAGUGUUGAUCCUAUUUAUAAUUUUAACCAGGAAAUGUUCCACUUGUGAGAAUUAUGAGGCCUAAGAAACGUGUUUUUCUGCACUCUAACGUUAUUUGCAGGGUUUGGCCUGUUUGACAAUGAGCCCCUGCAGAGACCCCCAAUGUAACGCACCACAUUUUGUCAUAUUAACUCUCUUUAUAGUUGUUUUGUGCCUCUUUGUGAUCAUUUUGUAUGUAUUUGUAUUUGUUUUGUGGUCUUUUUCAUCCAUUUGCAGUCAUUUUGCAUCUUUUUUCAUAAUGUUUUUGUGUUUACGAAGUCAUUUUACAUGUCUUUCUGGUUGUUUUGCAUCUACUUGUAAUUGUUUUGGAUCUAUUUGAAGUCUUUUUGCAUCUCUUUGUUGUUGGCAUUUAUCAGUUUGCACUCUUUAUGGUCAUUUUGCGUCUAUUAAUAGUGGUUUUGCAUGUAUUUAUCUUGUUUUUGCUUGUCAUCAAAGUCAUUUUGUCUCUCUUUGUAGUCGCUUUGCAUCUAUUUGUGGGCUUUAUGCAUCUGUUUAGUCAUUUUGUGUCUCUUUGGCGUUAUUUAGCAUCUAUUUAUAGUGGUUUCGCAUCCGUUUGUUGUGUUUUUGUGUCUCCUUUAAGUCAUUUAGCCUCCCUGUGUAGUCAUUUUACACGUCUUUGUAGUCUUUUUUGUCUUUGUCAUUUUGCAUCUCUUUGUCAUGUUUUUACUUCUCCUUAAAGUCAAUUUGUCUGUGUAGUUGCUCUGCAUCUAUUUGUCAUCUUUAUGCAUCUGUUUAGUCAUUUUGCAUCUUUUUGUCGUCACUUUGCAUCUGUUUCAUAGUGUUUUUGUGUUUGCUGUGUCAUUUUACAUCUUGUUGUGGUUGUUUUGCAUCUACUUGUAGGUGUUUUAGAUCUAUUUGAAGUCUUUUUGCAUCUCUUUGCUGUUGAUAUUUAUCAGCUUGAGGAAUUUUUGCAGUCUUUAUGGUCAUUUUGCAUCUAUUUAUAGUGGUUUUGCAUGCGUUUGUCUUAUUUUUGCUUCUCAUUGAAGUAAUUUUGUCUCUCUUUGUAGUUGCUUUGCAUCUGUUUGUAGGCUUUUUUUACAUCUAUUUAUCCAUUUUGUGUCUCUUCGUAGUAGAUAUGUAUGUACUUAUGGUUGCUAUUCAUCUACAUGGGGUUAUUUUGCAUCUGUUUAUAGUGUUUUUGCAUCCAUUUGUUGUGUUUUUGUAUCUCCUUUAAGUCAUUUAGCCUCCCUGUGUAGUCAUUUUACAUGUCUUUGUAGUCUUUUGUCUUAAUUUGUCAUUUUGCAUCUCUUUGCAAUUGAUUUUGCACAUUUGUAGUGUUUUUACUUAUCCUUGAAGUCAGUUGCAGUUGCUGUACAUCUAUUUGGUGUCUUUAUGCAUCUAUUUAGUCAGUUUGCGUCUCUCUGUAGUCGUUUUGUAUCUACUAGUAGUAAUUUGGCAUCUAUUUGUCGCCUUUUUGCAUCUCAUUUGUCGUGUUUUUGCCUCUCCUUGAAGUCAUUUUGCCUCCCUUUGCAAUCGUUUUUCAUUUAUUUGUUGCAUCUCUUGCAGUAGUUUUGCAGCUAACUGGAGUGUUUUUACAAAUUUGUCAUACUUUUGCAUCUCUUUGUAGUCGUUUUGCUUGUCUGUUUCGCCAUUUUGCAUCUCUUUGUAGUUGUUUUGCACGUGUUGAGCAAGUAUUUACUGUUGUUUCACAUUUUUUCCACCUCUAUUUAGUCAUUUUGUUUAUUUGUUUGCUUUUUGCAUCUGUUUACGGUCAUUUUGCAUCUACUUGAAGUCUUUUGUGUCUGUACACAGUCAUUUUGCAUCUCAGUUUGAGCAUGUAGUCUCUGUAGUGUUUUACAUCAGAUUGCAUCUAUUGUUGUCAUUGUGUGUCCCUUUGUGGCUAUUUUGCAUCUGUCCUAUUGCACGUCUCCCUCUUGGCAUCAGUUUGCUGACAGUUCACAUCAAUUUAGCCGUACUUACUUGCUUUUUCAGUUGCUUUAUGCAUCUUUGUAGCUGUUCUGAGUCUACUUAAACAGAUUUAUAAACUGACUACAGCUGUUUGGUUUCUCCUCGUUUAUGCAUUUUGUGUAUCUCUGUACUUCUGCGUGGUUGUUAGACGUUUGUUUGCUCUCUAAAUCUGCAGAACACAACCUCACUUGACACUCCUGUACAUGUCUGACACAGCUGACCCUCAGUAAUCCAUCGGUGUUCUUCUUACCUCUGCGUAAACGAAGAGCGGCAGCACCAGC